GGCCGGUUAGCUCAGUUGGUUAGAGCGUUGCAUUCACAUUGCAAAAGUCAGGGGUUCGAGUCCCUUACCGGCCA
rnacentral:tRNA from 1 species